UCGGGCGUGGUGUACGGAACACCGCCAGCUUUCUUCAAACCUCUGGACAACAAGUCGCUGGCAGUCCGGGGUUCGACUCCCCGUGUCCGAA